rnacentral:rRNA from 1 species
GACGAACGCUGGCGGCGUGCUUAACACAUGCAAGUCGAACGCUGAAGACCUGGCUUUUGUUGGGUUGGAUGAGUGGCGAACGGGUGAGUAACACGUAAGUAACCUGCCCUCUUCUUUGGGAUAACGCCCGGAAACGGGUGCUAAUACUGGAUAUUCACUGAUCUUCGCAUGGGGGUUGGUGGAAAGGUUUGUUCUGGUGGGGGAUGGGCUCGCGGCCUAUCAGCUUGUUGGUGGGGUGAUGGCCUACCAAGGCUUUGACGGGUAGCCGGCCUGAGAGGGUGACCGGUCACAUUGGGACUGAGAUACGGCCCAGACUCCUACGGGAGGCAGCAGUGGGGAAUAUUGCACAAUGGGCGAAAGCCUGAUGCAGCGACGCCGCGUGAGGGAUGGAGGCCUUCGGGUUGUAAACCUCUUUCGCUCAUGGUCAAGCCGCAACUGUGGGUUGUGGUGAGGGUAGUGGGUAAAGAAGCGCCGGCUAACUACGUG